rnacentral:rRNA from 1 species
UACGGAGGGGGCUAGCGUUGUUCGGAAUUACUGGGCGUAAAGCGCGCGCAGGCGGUUCUCCAAGUCAGUGGUGAAAGCCCGGAGCUCAACUCCGGAAUUGCCAUUGAAACUGUUGAACUUGAGGACGAGAGAGGUGAGUGGAAUUCCCAGUGUAGAGGUGAAAUUCGUAGAUAUUGGGAAGAACACCGGUGGCGAAGGCGGCUCACUGGCUCGUUUCUGACGCUCAGGCGCGACAGCGUGGGGAUCAAACAGG